AAACUAUACUCCCUCCGGUCCACAAUAAGUGUCUCGGAUUUAGUACUAAGUUAGUACAAAAUCUGAAACACUUCUUAUGGAUUGUAGGGAGUAGAAUCUU